CAGUCGCCACGGGAAUACGUAGGGUGCAAGCGUUAAUCGGAAUUACUAGGCGUAAAGCGUGCGCAGGCGGUUCUAUAAGACAGAUGUGAAAUCCCCGGGCUCAACCUGGGAACUGCAUUUGUGACUGUAGAGCUGGAGUGCGGCAGAGGGGGAUGGAAUUCCGCGUGUAGCAGUGAAAUGCGUAGAUAUGCGGAGGAACACCGAUGGCGAAGGCAAUCCCCUGGGCCUGCACUGACGCUCAUGCACGAAAGCGUGGGGAGCAAACAGGAAUAGAGACCCCCGUAGUCCCUGUCUCUUAUAC
rnacentral:rRNA from 1 species